rnacentral:rRNA from 1 species
AAGACCUUGCGCUUUUGGAGCGGCCGAUGCCUGAUUAGCUUGUUGGUAAGGUAAAAGCUUACCAAGGCUUCGAUCAGUAGCUGGUCUGAGAGGACGGCCAGCCACACUGGGACUGAGACACGGCCCAGACUCCUACGGGAGGCAGCAGUGGGGAAUUUUGGACAAUGGGGGCAACCCUGAUCCAGCCAUGCCGCGUGAGUGAAGAAGGCCUUCGGGUUGUAAAGCUCUUUCAGUCGGGAAGAAAAGGUUGCGACUAAUAAUCGCAAUUCAUGACGGUACCGAAAGAAGAAGCACCGGCUAACUACGUGCCAGCAGGCGCGGUAAUACGUAGGGUGCGAGCGUUAAUCGGAAUUACUGGGCGUAAAGGGUGCGCAGGCGGUUUUGUAAGUCAGAUGUGAAAWCCCCGGGCUUAACCUGGGAACU